CAGUAGCCGCGGUAAUACGAGGGGGGCAAGCGUUGUUCGGAAUUAUUGGGCGUAAAGGGUGCGUAGGCGGUUUGACAAGUCUAAUGUGAAAUCUAUGGGCUCAACCCAUAGUCUGCAUUGGAAACUGCCGGGCUUGAGUAUGGGAGAGGUGAGUGGAAUUUCCGGUGUAGCGGUGAAAUGCGUAGAUAUCGGAAGGAACACCUGUGGCGAAAGCGGCUCACUGGACCAUUACUGACGCUGAUGCACGAAAGCUAGGGGAGCAAACAGGAUUAGAUACCCCUGUAGUCCCUGUCUCUUAUAC
rnacentral:rRNA from 1 species